AUGUCUAUCGAGCCGUUGGGUGUGGAUGCAAGCUCGGAAGAGGGUUGGAUGCUUGUUAAACCGCCGUAUUGGUGGAGAGCUCUGUCUUCCAGUCUGCGUCAGUCAAGACAGAGGUCCUCGCCUUCCUUUUCCCCUCCAUCAUCAGGCAGAAUUUUUGUGAAGCAUCACCGUCGGACCUGCCAUCGCUGCCUCGAGCGGAGACAUCUCAAGAUCGACUGUCGUGACCCCUACAAAUGUCUGAUUUGUCGACAGAGUGGUCAUCGUGCACGCCAGUGCACAAACAAAUCACCGAAGCCAGUGCAAGAACGCCUCCCGCCGCCGUCAAUGAUUCCGUCCCCCCCUCUGGCAGAAGAUGAUGGAAGGAUUCUGUGUCGCCCGUGUGGUGGCCAUGGCGAUCCGGUCUGCUGGGAUGAUGUCCGUGGCUGGGACGGGCGCUAG
rnacentral:rRNA from 1 species